AAAAAAACAUUCAUGCUUGCUUUUACACACACAAACACACACAAUAAUUUCUCCAUCAAACCUAAUUUCAUACACACGCGCGCGCGCGCACACACACACACACCUUAUGCUCAUUCACACACAGUUUCUCACUGCCGCUGCUAACAUUUCGUCGGUUCACACACAUUGUCGCUGUGCCGAUCGGCUCACCACGAAUCUUUCAAACCCUAGGCCUCGAAUAUGACGAGAAAGUCCUUCCUUCGAUCGGCUCAAGGCCGUUGUCGUUCAAUUCAACGUCGAUCAGCUCCUCACCUAGCAUCCCAGCGUCUCUGCAUUGGUUUGCGAGAGCUUGGUUCAUCGUGCUAAGGAUUUCAACAUCGUUCUCAAGAGCUUGUAUAGGGCUGAGCUCUCCAAGGCCGUGGAACAGAAGUAGAAGGAGAACGAAAUUUCUAGCAUGUCAGGGUUACCUAAGAAUGAUUCUGCUGAAACAUUAUUUGAUGUGCCGUUCGUAGAGGAGGAAAAGCAACCUAGAGAUUCGAUAUUUGAUAUGGACAUGGUUGGUAAUUUGGAGGGCAGAUGGUAGCUCAUUUUGUAUUUUUAUUCAUAUUACCUUAUAUGUAUUUUGGUUGCAUUGUAAAUUUUAUAUUUUUGUUGGUAUUACAGGGCAUGUUGGGUAAUCUGCCCUUGAUAUUUUAUUUUUGUUGAUAUUAGUAGACAUGUUUUGUUGUUGGAUAUUAGGAGAUGUGUUUGGUAAUCCGCAUGCGGUUGAUAUGAUAUUUUUGUGGAUAUUAG